rnacentral:rRNA from 1 species
GAUGAACGCUGGCGGCGUGCCUAAUACAUGCAAGUCGAGCGAAUGGAUUAAGAGCUUGCUCUUAUGAAGUUAGCGGCGGACGGGUGAGUAACACGUGGGUAACCUGCCCAUAAGACUGGGAUAACUCCGGGAAACCGGGCUACUACCGGAUAAUAUUUUGAACUGCAUGGUUCAAAAUUGAAAGGCGGCUUCGGUUGUCACUUAUGGAUGGACCCGCGUCGAAUUAGCUAGUUGGUGAGGUAACGGCUCACAAAGGGAACGAUGCGUAGCCGACCGGAGAGGGUGAUCGGCCACACUGGGACUGAGACACGGCCCAGACUCCUACGGGAGGCAGCAGUAGGGAAUCUUCCGCAAUGGACGAAAGUCUGACGGAGCAACGCCGCGUGAGUGAUGAAGGCUUUCGGGUCGUAAAACUCUGUUGUUAGGGAAGAACAAGUGCUAGUUGAAUAAGCUGGCACCUUGACGGUACCUAACCAGAAAGCCACGGCUAACUACGUGCCAGCCGCCGCAGUAA